UCGACGAAAGCCUAGGACCUAAGACGCCAACACAACAAACCCCUUUUUAGAAGAACCCAUCAAACUUUUCUGCUUUCUCCAACCCUAGCCCCCUUUACCUUCUCUCUGGCACCUCCGAAUCCCUUCUCUCAGAACAACGGCAACAACAACAACAAGUGCUUUCCUCUUGCUUCGCCUCUUUUUCUCUGUUGUUCUCGUGAAUUUUGCUACUACUGCUAAAUCCUUUCUCUUCUAAGCCGACCGAUGAGAUCACCACCGUCUCUGAGAGGAUCGAGGGCAUCGAUCCCCUCCUCGAAUGCAUCCAAGCCCUUAAGAUCAAGAGCUCUCUCCCCCUCUCUUCCCUCAACUCCAGAAAAUAGCCUCUUUCUGGUUCGCUUCUCAUUUUAUUCUCUUCUUCGAUGGAUCGUUGCAGACCACGCCAUUGUUGAAAUCUCUGCCUCCUUCCGAGAGCUCCUUGACGGAUAUUCUCGUGAGGAAACCCUCCUCCACCUCCUCUGUAUCAGAGGUCGGGUGGCGAGAAGGCCACCUGGCAAUCAAUCCCCCGCGGCCGCUGGCAGUCGAGGAGGAGCCAGAGUACGAGCUUGAUGGUGGGAGAAAGAAGGUCACCAUCUUCUUUGGCACCUAGACCGGCGCCGCAGAAGGCUUUGCUAAGGAUGAUUACUCAGCUGAUGAUGAUGGAUACGAGGAGAAGAUGAAGAAAAAGACAUUGAAGUUGUUCUUCUUUGGCAAUCACGGAUCACUCACUCUUACUGUGGGAGGACUGCCUGAUAUAUAAUGUGGGUUACAGGCAGCAAGGAGGUGACACUUACUGGCAACCAAUAUCUCUGUCAUCUUUGUAUAAGCAAAAGGAAUAAACAAAGUUCUUUGUUAUCUCUCUAUUAUCUUUGCCAAAAAAAAAAAAAAAAAUUCUUGGGAGUCUAAACCAAAAGCACUGUGUGCUCCCUUACGCCAUGGCAUGCUUGGCUUGAAACCAGUAAUAACAGUGUGACCCACUAGUUGAUAACCCAUCAAGUCUCUUAGCAGGGUGGCAAAAAUCCAGGAGGCCAUCACUAAAGAGACAUGUGGGAGGAUCCGAAGAUUGUAAUAAUCUUAUUACUUCUACAUGAAAGGUGGCUCCUACGUUUCUAAAUUAGGUUUGCAAGAUCUUGGGUGAUGCAUUCAGAGAGACUGAUGUUUGGGAUCGAUUUGGUUGUCUCAUAUUAACUUUGCCAACAAUA